AUGGUGGUGGUUCAGUGGUAGAAUUCUUGCCCUCCAUGCAGGAGACAAGGGUUCGAUUCCCAGCCAAUGCA
rnacentral:tRNA from 1 species